rnacentral:misc_RNA from 1 species
UCCGGCUUGCCACCGGCAGUUCCACUAGAGUGCCCAGCUUAACCUGCUGGCAACUAGUAGCGAGGGUUGCGCUCGUUGCGGGACUUAACCCAACAUCUCACGACACGAGCUGACGACAGCCAUGCAGCACCUGUGUCUAGGUUCCCUUUCGGGCACGCUCACAUCUCUGCGAGCUUCCUAGCAUGUCAAGGGUAGGUAAGGUUUUUCGCGUUGCAUCGAAUUAAACCACAUGCUCCGCUGCUUGUGCGGGGCCCCGUCAAUUCCUUUGAGUUUUAGCCUUGCGACCGUACUCCCCAGGCGGGAUGCUUAAUGCGUUAGCUUCGGCACAGCAGGGGUCGAUACCCGCUACACCAAGCAUCCAUCGUUUACAGCUGGGACUAC